ACGGGAGGCAGCAGUGGGGAAUAUUGGGCAAUGGGCGCAAGCCUGACCCAGCAAUGCCGCGUGAAGGAAGAAGGCUUUCGGGUUGUAAACUUCUUUUAAGAGGGGCGAUAAUGACGGUACCUCCUGAAUAAGCUCCGGCUAACUACGUGCCAGCAGCCGCGGUAAUACGUAGGGAGCAAGCGUUAUCCGGAUUUACUGGGUGUAAAGGGCGUGUAGGCGGGACUGCAAGUCAGAUGUGAAAGCACGAGGCUCAACUUCGUGUCUGCAUUUGAAACUGUAGUUCUUGAGUGCUGGAGAGGCUAACGGAAUUCCUAGUGUAGCGGUGAAAUGCGUAGAUAUUAGGAGGAACACCAGUGGCGAAGGCGGUUAGCUGGACAGUAACUGACGCUGAGGCGCGAAAGCGUGGGUAGCAAACAGGAUUAGAUACCCUGGUA
rnacentral:rRNA from 1 species